AGAUGUAGACGUUGGUACAACCACGUCUGUCAAUACUUAGAUAAAGUACACAUGUUUCGUGUCUUUAUAGGCGCGAGAAAUUGGCAGAACUGUCCGUCAUUCGUCCCAGUGUAAAGUCACCGACGCAGAUCUCCAGGACAUCUUCACAACACUGACUAACCUGCUUAGUGACCAAACGAGUCUUACACUUGACGUCACUGCUCUGGAGGCUGUGAAGAAACUAGCAGAGCUGCAAAAGGAGACAUUAAAGAUAACCACGGGGGAAAUGAUUCAUUUACUAGACGCGGCAAACGAUACACUCAAGAAAGUUCAAAAUAUUGCUGAUAAAUCUCUGGAUGAGAUGCAGGUGUACCUUAAACAGUGUAAAAAGGAUCUAAAGUCACACACAGACAAAUGUAAACAUGAACUGAAUGACCAUACAGCCAAUUGUAUAAAGGCCAUAGAUGGACAUGCUAGCAAGGCUGUGGAAUCAACCUAUGAGCAAUCUUGUAAAGAUUUUCGCGAAAGUUUGAUUGGGUUCUAUACGACGGAGAUGAGUACUGUGUCUGUUUCGCCGCUUUGGAUGGGUCUUGACAAACCCAUCUUUGAUAUUUUCGUGCAACCGAAAUUGAGUCUUUACAAUAUUGAGAAAGAUGGAUCUCGAACAAAAGCGAACAAAGCAAUUAACAAAUACAUGGACUUUUUUUACAGCGAUAUAAAGGUCAAACGUGUGUUUGUUCAAGGAG